UUCCCACAAUUCAAUCAAUUUUCACGGGUUUAACAGUAACAUUUUCAUCAUUCCCACAAUUCAAUCAAAUUUCAUUGGUUUAACAACAACGUUUUCAUCAUUCCCACAAUUCAAUCAAAUUCCAUGGGUUUAAUAGCAGCGUUUUCAUCAUUCCCACAAUUCAAACAAAUUGCAUGGGUUUAACAGCAACAUUUUCUUCCUUUACACAAUUAAAUAAAUUUUAUGGGUUUAACAACUAGAUUUUCAUCAUUCCCACAAUUCAAUCA
rnacentral:lncRNA from 1 species